rnacentral:lncRNA from 1 species
CCCCGGGCCCUUCUGAGACAUUACCUAACCGCGCCUUCUUACCUAAUCCCCUAGCCAUCCCCUGCCGCUGCCUGGAGGGGAGCCAGAUGCCUGCCACCGCCCCAGCCGCCUGGGCCCCACCAGCCUGGGCUCAAGCCUGGGCUUGCCUCUGGCCACCUGUGUGUCCUGGGCCUGUCUCCCACCUGCGAAUGGCACCAGAGACCGCUCGGCUAAAGUAGCUCCAUGCCCUCUGGGCCCUGCUUUCCUCACCCCCGCAAGCCAAGAUGGGGAUGCCCUGUUGUCCGGAAACUGCUCAGGAGCAUCUGACCCGUGCUCGAGCAGCAGCCUGGCCCCCGCCUGCCUGUCGCCUGCACCCGGAUUGAAUUCAGCUAUGGUUUCACUGCUGUCACUCAGAAGAAUGGUCUCAUUCAGGCCACCUGCUCCCUGGCUGGACAGCUCACAUCCCCCUCCCGCCUGGGCACAGAGGCCCAAGCCCCUGACCACCCUGCCCUGCACAGGCCUGUCCCUCCAGGCAGAGCUAUCCAGUGUGGC